rnacentral:lncRNA from 1 species
UGAAACGCCAGUAGCUCCGUGUUGGGAGCCAACAUGUUUUCAGGUCUUUUAUUUCCAUGGCUCUCCCUUGUCCCUCUGCAGCAGACAUAUGAGACGCUGGGAUGGUAGCCAUCCACUGACAGUGAAAUAGAGAAGAGGUUGAAGGUCCCCUGCUGAUCUUUAUAAUCGAUCAGACAUUAGCCACUGUUCAACGUCAGACAAUAUCCUCUCGCUUUGCCAGAGGAUAUUCCUGAAUAAGUUACAGUCUCCCUGAGAGCAGCCAGACUGUACAGGAGAGGACAGAUGCAUGCACUCAUCAUGCUGGUGGCACAGGCACACUCAGAAAUCAAC